UGGGGAAUAUUGCACAAUGGGCGCAAGCCUGAUGCAGCCAUGCCGCGUGUGUGAAGAAGGCCUUCGGGUUGUAAAGCACUUUCAGCGGGGAGGAAGGCGGUGAGGUUAAUAACCUCAUCGAUUGACGUUACCCGCAGAAGAAGCACCGGCUAACUCCGUGCCAGCAGCCGCGGUAAUACGGAGGGUGCAAGCGUUAAUCGGAAUUACUGGGCGUAAAGCGCACGCAGGCGGUCUGUCAAGUCGGAUGUGAAAUACCCGGGCUCAACCUGGGAACUGCAUUCGAAACUGGCAGGCUAGAGUCUUGUAGAGGGGGGUAGAAUUCCAGGUGUAGCGGUGAAAUGCGUAGAGAUCUGGAGGAAUACCGGUGGCGAAGGCGGCCCCCUGGACAAAGACUGACGCUCAGGUGCGAAAGCGUGGGGAGCAAACAGG
rnacentral:rRNA from 1 species